UAUGUAGCAUAGCUGUCAACGUUUCCCAUUUUUUAAGGGAAAUUCCCUUAUUCCGAAUAGGAUUCCUCACAAGAAAAGGGAAAAGUUGACAGCUAUGAUAUGUA